rnacentral:rRNA from 1 species
UUCGCAAUGCCCGAAAGGGUGAACUAGCGACGCCGCGUGCGGGAUGAAGGCCUUCGGGUUGUAAACCGCUUUUGCAAGGGAAAAACUUAAUGAUGGUACCUUGCGAAUAAGAGGUUACUAACUCUGUGCCAGCAGUAGCGGUAAUACAGAGACCUCAAGCGUUAUCCGGAUUUAUUGGGCGUAAAGCGCGGGUAGGCGGGGACGUAAGUUGGGUGUGAAUCCCUCGGCCCAACCGAGGAACUGCGCCCAGUACCGCGUUGCUUGAGGAUCCAAGGGGUGCAUGGAAUUCCCGGUGGAGCGGUGAAAUGCGUUGAUAUCGGGAGGAACUCCGGCGGCGAAAGCGGUGCACUGGUGGAUUUCUGACGCUGAGGUGCGAAAGCCAGGGGAGCAAACGGGAUUAGAUACCCCGGUAGUCCUGGCUGUAAACGAUGGGCACUAAGUAGAGGGGUUUU